rnacentral:rRNA from 1 species
UACAGCGGGAAGCCACCUGGCGACAGGGCGCGGAACCCGAAAACCUGUCUCAGUUCGGAUUGGAGUCUGCAACCCGACUCCAUGAAGCUGGAUUCGCUAGUAAUCGCGCAUCAGCCACGGCGCGGUGAAUACGUUCCCGGGCCUUGUACACACCGCCCGUCAAGCCAUGGAAGCCGGGAGUGCCUGAAGUGCGUGACCGCAAGGAGCGUCCUAAGGCAAUACCGGUGACUGGGGCUAAGUCGUAACAAGGUAUC